rnacentral:rRNA from 1 species
UGGGGAAUAUUGCACAAUGGGCGCAAGCCUGAUGCAGCGACGCCGCGUAAGGGAUGACGGCCUUCGGGUUGUAAACCUCUUUCGCUAGGGACGAAGCGUAAGUGACGGUACCUGGAGAAGAAGAACCGGCCAACUACGUGCCAGCAGCCGCGGUAAUACGUAGGGUGCGAGCGUUGUCCGGAAUUACUGGGCGUAAAGAGCUCGUAGGCGGUUUGUCGCGUCGUCUGUGAAAUUCUGCAACUCAAUUGCAGGCGUGCAGGCGAUACGGGCAGACUUGAGUACUACAGGGGUGACUGGAAUGCAUGGUGAAGCGGUGAAAUGCGCAGAUAUCAGGAGGAACACCGGUGGCGAAGGCGGGUCUCUGGGUAGUAACUGACGCUUAGGAGCGAAAGCGUGGGG